rnacentral:rRNA from 1 species
GGUAAAAAAAAGGUAAGCUACUAAGAGCGAAUGGUGGAUGCCUUGACUGGUAAAGGCGAUGAAGGACGUACUAGACUGCGAUAAGCUACGGGGAGCUGUCAAGAAGCUUUGAUCCGUAGAUUUCCGAAUGGGGCAACCCAAUGUAUAGAGAUAUACAUUACCUAUAUAGGAGCGAACGAGGGGAAUUGAAACAUCUUAGUACCCUCAGGAAAA